GAUGAAGAACGCAGCGAAAUGCGAUAAUUAAUGUGAAUUGCAGAAUUCAGUGAAUCAUCGAGUCUUUGAACGCACAUUGCGCCCGCUAGUAUUCUGGCGGGCAUGCCUGUUCGAGCGUCAUUUCAACCAUCAAGCCCUGUUUAGGCUUGUGUUGGGGCCCUGCGGUUGCCGCAGCCCCCUAAAUGCAGUGGCGGGCUCGUUGUCACUCCGAGCGCAGUAGCGUAUCUCGCUCUGGGCGUGGCGGCGGGUGCUAGCCGUGAAACACCCACUAAGGUUGACCUCGGAUCAGGUAGGAAUACCCGCUGAACUUAAGCAUAUCAAUAGCGGAGGA
rnacentral:misc_RNA from 1 species